rnacentral:lncRNA from 1 species
GGGUCAGGACGGGGCUCUGUGGCAGAGCCGGACCCGGAGAGGGGGCUCCAGGGCCCCCGAGAGGCGGGAGGGGGGCCACGGGGGGGCACCGUGCAGUGCCCGGCCGGGGGGCAGGGCCCGGGACCAGCCGAACAGGGACUAGGGCCCGAGCAGCGGGUGGGCCGCCAGCCGCCCUCCUCCGGCUGUCCCGGGUCCCUGCAGCCGAAGCCGCUGAAGCCCGAGGGGCUCCCUCCGCCCACCUCCCUUCCAAGGCUAGCGCUGACCCCCUCCUCUGCCCCCCCCCCCCGCUUCCCGCACUGCUCCCCGCCGCCCAGUCCCAGGCACCCCCCCCCUCCCCCGGGCCGGACGGCUCCCUGGGGGCUCUUCCCGGGCUGCAGAUCUGAUGGGACCUGCCCCUCCCCCAUAAAUCGCUCUUUCUCUGCUGUCACUCCUCGCUCCGAGGGAGAACGGGAGGCGGGGCCUUCCCCAGCCCGACCCCGCGGGGCGGCUGAACUCUGCCCACAGAGGGCGCUCCGGUCUCCCCAGCCUCAGGUUCUCCUUCGGGAAAAACCUGGGCAGUUUCCGGCGAGCCCAAGUCCCGCUUCCCCAACGCCCCCUAUAAUAACGUGGGGGAGGGGAAGGGGGAGGGGCCAGACCAAACCGGGGCGGGGUGGAGGACCAGGCCUGAAGCGAGGACAAGCGGACGGAGCCGCCGGGCCUGGGAGAAGCAGAGUGACCCUGGGGGCCCGGCCCGGCCUUUCCCCCCACCGCCCCCGCCGGACGCCGGCGCGCCCCGCAGGUGCUCCCCGUGCGGAGCCCGGCUUCUCACUGACCUGCAGCAGCAGCCCGGGCCGCCACAGCGGCCGCCGCCAUCUUCCCGAGCGCCUACGGAGGCCACUUAGGACCAAAAUACCCGGGGCGAGGGGCGGAGCGGGGCAGGGCAGGGGAGGGGCGGGGGCGGGGCCUGCGCUGCAGGUGGGAAGGGAGAGUAGCGGGGGAGGGGAGGAGAGCGGCCCCCGGUCUGACCCAGGGGGGAGCCUUCCUGCCUCCGGGACGCCCGUCAGUGGAUCUCGGAGACGCUGGGUCCUUCCCGGGCCCGGAGCGCAUGGCCGCCCUCGGCCCUUCGAGCGCUUGGGGUCCCGAUGGGGGACGCGCCGCGGCCAGACCCGGCCUUUGCGCGGGCUGUCGGGGCUGCCGUGCUCCCUCCUGGCGCGAGGCUCCCGGAGCGGGCUCCGGCCCCGUUGCGCAUCCGAGGCUCGGAGGGAGCACCCGGCGCGAGGCUCCUGGGCCCGGGAAGAAGGAGCUGAGGGGCAGGGCCGCGACCCCGGGAACAGCGAGCAGUCUGUAGAUUUUUGCAGUAGUUGUAGAUAA